rnacentral:rRNA from 1 species
UACAGAGGUCUCAAGCGUUGUUCGGAUUCAUUGGGCGUAAAGGGUGCGUAGGCGGCGCUGUAAGUCGGGUGUGAAAUCUUGGAGCUUAACUCCGAAACUGCAUUCGAUACUGCCGUGCUUGAGGACUGGAGAGGAGACUGGAAUUUACGGUGUAGCGGUGAAAUGCGUAGAUAUCGUAAGGAAGACCAGUGGCGAAGGCGGGUCUCUGGACAGUUCCUGACGCUGAGGCACGAAGGCCAGGGGAGCAGACGGG